rnacentral:rRNA from 1 species
UACGUAGGGUGCGAGCGUUAAUCGGAAUUACUGGGCGUAAAGCGUGCGCAGGCGGUUUUGUAAGUCCGAUGUGAAAUCCCCGGGCUCAACCUGGGAAUGGCAUUUGGGACUGCAAGGCUGGAGUACGGCAGAGGAGACUGGAAUUCCUGGUGUAGCAGUGAAAUGCGUAGAUAUCAGGAGGAAUACCGAUGGCGAAGGCAGGUCUCUGGGCUGAUACUGACGCUCAUGCACGAAAGCGUGGGGAGCAAACAGG